rnacentral:tRNA from 1 species
CGGGAUGUAGCGCAGUCCGGUAGCGCGCUUCGUUCGGGACGAAGAGGCCGCUGGUUCGAAUCCAGUCAUCCCGA